rnacentral:rRNA from 1 species
AUUUGGUGGGCCCAUAUCCCUCCCAAGGUUAAGAUCUUUUUGUGGCAAGCCUUCAGAGGGCGGCUACCGGCGGCUGAUCAAAUCUGUAAACGUAACGGGCCUGGGUUCGACAGAUGCGCGCUGUGCAGUGAUAUGGAGGAUACGGGCCAUAUUUUUUUCAGUUGUGUCUUGGCUAAGUUCGUCUGGUGUUGCAUCCGUUUCUGGCUCCAUGUAUCCUCGAGCCUGUUUGGUUGUUUCCUUCUCAGACCUUAG